CCUUCCUGUUCCCUCUGUAGGUCCAGAUUGACCCUUAUCUGAGUGACUCCAUGUGCCAAAUAUGUAACAGUCAGCCCGGCCCGUUCUUCUUUAGAGCUCAGGCAUGUUUUAAAUGCUACUGUCAGUCAUGCUGGUAUUGGCAGCAUUCUCUGGACCUGUUGAGCAGCCAUCAGCCUCUCAUGCGCAACCAGAAGGGCCUGAACCCAAAUAAACCCACCGCUGCCGGCGUGGGGAAGAGUCUGGACUGAGUUCACUGUUUUGGGGAAGGAUUUUACCGUGAGACAAGAGCAACUCACUUGAGGAAGUCGUUUUAUUGCGCUGCUAUUGUUCAUUAAGCUUCUAUACACUCUAAAGGGUUCGUUGAUGGUGACCCGUUUGCAGUUAACCAGACAGCCAUGAUCAUGGAGAUCUGAUUUUAAGAGUUGUGUUUUAGAUUUUGCAUGCACAGGUGUGGUUAUUUACAAACAUUCAGAUUGGACAAAAUAAAGUGGUUGAAGCACUGAAA